CAGCAGCCGCGGUAAUACGUAGGUGGCAAGCGUUGUCCGGAAUUAUUGGGCGUAAAGGGCUCGCAGGCGGUUUCUUAAGUCUGAUGUGAAAGCCCCCGGCUCAACCGGGGAGGGUCAUUGGAAACUGGGAAACUUGAGUGCAGAAGAGGAGAGUGGAAUUCCACGUGUAGCGGUGAAAUGCGUAGAGAUGUGGAGGAACACCAGUGGCGAAGGCGACUCUCUGGUCUGUAACUGACGCUGAGGAGCGAAAGCGUGGGGAGCGGACAGGAUUAGAUACCCCCGUAGUCCCUGUCUCUUAUAC
rnacentral:rRNA from 1 species